AAAAAGACAAACCCUGGUUUCCGUGCCCAACAUUUGAUCGUCCGUCUUAUUUAAAAAAAUUAUUAAAAAAAAAUAAAAAGACAAGUCACGCAUAAAAUAUUAAUCAUGUUUUAUCAUCUAACAACAAUAAAAAUACGAAUUAUAAAAAAAUUUUAUAUAAGACGGACAGUCAAAGUUGGACACGAAAAUUCAGGGUUUGUCUCUCU
rnacentral:pre_miRNA from 1 species